rnacentral:rRNA from 1 species
GUGGUGGUGGUUUGAGAACUCAAGAGCGUGUUUGUACUACUUCUUUAUAGUCAAUGAUUGCCAGUUCAUUCCUCGCCUGAUUGCCUGUCGUGGUGGUUGGGUACCCGGGAGGGUUUGAUGAGGGGUGAGGUUUUUUGAGGGCGUCCUUCCUUAAGGACGUGCUCGUCAAUUUUUGUUUUGAGAGUCAUCUAUUCGGAUGCUUUUCAUGAAGUUUUUUUGUGGAGGGUUCGAUUCUGGCUCAGGAUGAACGCUGGCGGCGUGCUUAACACAUGCAAGUCGAACGGGAUCCAUCAAGCUUGGAGAUACGGCCCAGACUCCUACGGGAGGCAGCAGUGGGGAAUAUUGCACAAUGGGCGCAAGCCUGAUGCAGCGACGCCGCGUGAGGGAUGGAGGCCUUCGGGUUGUAAACCUCUUUUAUCGGGGAGCAAGCGAGAGUGAGUUUACCCGUUGAAUAAGCACCGGCUAACUACGUGCCAGCAGCCGCGGUAAUACGUAGGGUGCAAGCGUUAUCCGGAAUUAUUGGGCGUAAAGGGCUCGUAGGCGGUUCGUCGCGUCCGGUGUGAAAGUCCAUCGCUUAACGGUGGAUCCGCGCCGGGUACGGGCGGGCUUGAGUGCGGUAGGGGAGACUGGAAUUCCCGGUGUAACGGUGGAAUGUGUAGAUAUCGGGAAGAACACCAAUGGCGAAGGCAGGUCUCUGGGCCGUUACUGACGCUGAGGAGCGAAAGCGUGGGGAGCGAACAGGAUUAGAUACCCUGGUAGUCCACGCCGUAAACGGUGGAUGCUGGAUGUGGGGCCCGUUCCACGGGUUCCGUGUCGGAGCUAACGCGUUAAGCAUCCCGCCUGGGGAGUACGGCCGCAAGGCUAAAACUCAAAGAAAUUGACGGGGGCCCGCACAAGCGGCGGAGCAUGCGGAUUAAUUCGAUGCAACGCGAAGAACCUUACCUGGGCUUGACAUGUUCCCGACGGUCGUAGAGAUACGGCUUCCCUUCGGGGCGGGUUCACAGGUGGUGCAUGGUCGUCGUCAGCUCGUGUCGUGAGAUGUUGGGUUAAGUCCCGCAACGAGCGCAACCCUCGCCCCGUGUUGCCAGCGGAUUAUGCCGGGAACUCACGGGGGACCGCCGGGGUUAACUCGGAGGAAGGUGGGGAUGACGUCAGAUCAUCAUGCCCCUUACGUCCAGGGCUUCACGCAUGCUACAAUGGCCGGUACAACGGGAUGCGACGCGGCGACGCGGAGCGGAUCCCUGAAAACCGGUCUCAGUUCGGAUCGCAGUCUGCAACUCGACUGCGUGAAGGCGGAGUCGCUAGUAAUCGCGAAUCAGCAACGUCGCGGUGAAUGCGUUCCCGGGCCUUGUACACACCGCCCGUCAAGUCAUGAAAGUGGGCAGCACCCGAAGCCGGUGGCCUAACCCCUUGUGGGAUGGAGCCGUCUAAGGUGAGGCUCGUGAUUGGGACUAAGUCGUAACAAGGUAGCCGUACCGGAAGGUGCGGCUG